AGAUCACCUGUGCCCUUUGGUCAUAUGAUGCAGGAGCAUUUUAGAGGCAUCUAUUUCUCCAUUUUUGUUUUGUUUUUCAGAAUCUUACGCCGUUCAUUCUGACCUCAAAUCACUAUUUAUCCAAGGACAACUUGAACUUCUGAUCUUCCCCUACCUCCCAAGAGAACUCCAGUUUGGUUCCUGGAACCCACAUCAGGAAGCUCACAGCCACCUGUGAGUCCAGCUCCAGGGGAUCCAGCAGCCUCUUCUGGACUCUGCCAGUACCCUACACAUGUGGCAUACACACAGCCUGAGUGCAAACUGAGGAGAAGUGGGAGUGAAUUCUCUAUGGGGACGCUACCAGCGUGUGGAAGAGAAGUCAGACAUGAUCACAAAAUUCAACCUCUAAAAUUUUGUGCUUCAUCUGUAAAAUGAGAAUAAUGCCAUGUGCCCUCGAGAAGCCUGGCUUUCUACAUCUGAGCUCAGGCUCCUCCCCUUGAACAUCUCUGAAACCUGUUCUCCCUGAACUGAGAUCAUAGCUCCCCUGCAGUGCUCAGAGUGGGGGUGGGGAGGAAAAAUGUUAUCCACUCAACAUCCAAAGUUACCUUCUCCCAAAUUUCAAAGGAAGAGCUAUGCUCCAGGUGCAUGAUGGUCAGUGGAACCGUAGGGGUAUGGCUUGUCUUUCCAUGGAACGAGGGCGCUGUCUGAUGAUAUUUUUGUUGUAUCAUGAGUUGGAGCAAGGGAAGUUAUUGGCCCUUGGCAAGUAGCGAUCAGGAGCACCCCAGAGUACCCCAGUCAGCCCUCACUGCAAAUAUCCCGUCCAUCCGUUGCAAGGUGGAAACGCUCACGGUAUAGAACAGCUUCAUCCUUGAUCCCUCUCUGCCUCUACCUUUUGUGUGAUGCUGGAUAGGGUACCUCAUGACUCUAGACCACAUUCAGUGUCCUGAGUUGUAGGAUAAGAUGGUUUGACUUGAUGAUGUACAUGGCCUGUCAUUCUCGAAGUCUCCCAAGUCAAAACAAGCAUCCCCACCUCCGCUCCCUCAACUGUAAAAUUGUACUGAACAUCCUUACUUCAUUGUUCCCACUAUGGGAUGAGAGGGAAAGUUAAGUAACAAUUAUAAAAUUGUCUUAC
rnacentral:lncRNA from 1 species